rnacentral:rRNA from 1 species
CAGUAGCCACGGUAAUACGAACCGUGCGAACGUUAUUCGGAAUCACUGGGCUUAAAGCGCGUGUAGGCGGGCCGCCACGUCGGCUGCUGAAAUCCCCCGGCUCAACCGGGGAAGUGGCACCGAUACGAGCGGCCUCGAGGGGGGUAGGGGGGACUGGAACUUCCGGUGGAGCGGUGAAGUGCGUUGAGAUCGGAAGGAACGCCCAUGGCGAAAGCGAGUCCCUGGACCCUUUCUGACGCUGAGACGCGAAAGCCAGGGGAGCGAACGGGAUUAGAUACCCCCGUAGUCCCUGUCUCUUAUA